GAAUUCGCCCUUAGAGUUUGAUCCUGGCUCAGAUUGAACGCUAGCGGCAUGCUUUACACAUGCAAGUCGAACGGCAGCGCGGGGCAACCUGGCGGCGAGUGGCGAACGGGUGAGUAAUACAUCGGAACGUACCCUGUGAUGGGGGAUAACCACGCGAAAGCGUGACUAAUACCGCAUACGACCCAAGGGUGAAAGUGGGGGAUCGCAAGACCUCACGUCAUAGGAGCGGCCGAUGGCGGAUUAGCUAGUUGGUGAGGUAAAGGCUCACCAAGGCGACGAUCCGUAGCUGGUCUGAGAGGACGACCAGCCACACUGGGACUGAGACGCGGCCCAGACUCCUACGGGAGGCAGCAGUGGGGAAUCUUGGACAAUGGGGGCAACCCUGAUCCAGCAAUGCCGCGUGUGGGAUGAAGGCCUUCGGGUUGUAAACCACUUUUGGCGGGGGCGAAAUAUCGAGUGCUAAUACCAUUCGGUGAUGACGGUACCCGCAGAAUAAGCACCGGCUAACUACGUGCCAGCAGCCGCGGUAAUACGUAGGGUGCAAGCGUUAAUCGGAAUUACUGGGCGUAAAGCGUGCGCAGGCGGUUUGGUAAGACAGAUGUGAAAUUCCCGGGCUCAACCUGGGAACUGCAUUUGUGACUGCCUAACUAGAGUGCGGCAGAGGGGAGUGGAAUUCCGCGUGUAGCAGUGAAAUGCGUAGAUAUGCGGAGGAACACCGAUGGCGAAGGCAACUCCCUGGGCCUGCACUGACGCUCAUGCACGAAAGCGUGGGGAGCAAACAGGAUUAGAUACCCUGGUAGUCCACGCCCUAAACGAUGUCGACUAGUUGUUGGACGGGAUACUGUUCAGUAACGUAGCUAACGCGUGAAGUCGACCGCCUGGGGAGUACGGCCGCAAGGUUAAAACUUAAAGGAAUUGACGGAAGGGCGAAUUC
rnacentral:rRNA from 1 species